AUAUAUAUAUAUAUAUUUGAAAUAUGUUGGGAAAAGAUAGCUGUAUAAAGUCUCUUUGUCACAUCGUUUCUGUUUUCACAGUCAACGAAUGCCAAAAUAUGUACAAAAUGUACGUUUCCUGUGAUUUCAGAUAUGGAAAGUGUUAUUAUUUUUGUGCUUUUGAAUGGUGACAUGGUGAAACAUGGAGUAAAUAUUGCAUUCGAGAGAGUAGCGCUGCUGCCGGCUCUACACAACAUUUCUUUAAGCCUACACUGCUUUUUCUAGUUGGGGCUCUGCCUUUACUGUAGCCACUGGCUCUGCCUGCGCUUGUUGAUUCUCAAGUGUUGCGAGGUGACACGGGAGACCUGUGUGCAGUAGUUGACAAGACCACCAUCACUCUGAAAAUGUGGUCCGCGUCUGACCGGUUUUCAGACCAGGUCAAGUGAGUGAGUCCAAAUGAAACACGAUUCAGACUGAAGCAAAGAAAGAAAAAUUGUAUUCAAAGCAAAAAUGUACUUGCACAAUGGAACAAUUUAUACAGACCAGCUGAAUAAUGCUACUCUAAGUACAGUAUAAGUACUGUCGGACUACAUCUAUGCGCACAACACCAUUCAAACUUUUUAAUACGCCCCAAUGUUUCCAGUUUUUUUUCCUGAACAACGUUUCAUUUCCAUCACCAGCAUGUUCCAGCUGCUGGAUGGGUCAAACAUUGAGAUUAAAAAUCAAGUUCAAUGAAAAGAUUCGAGGGUUACCUGUUUUCUACUUUAAUUUCAGAAGUGCUGUGACAUGAAACUGCUGUAAAAGCACAACAAAAAGCACCUCAAAAUUGAGGUGUUGUAAACAUUUGACACUCAUUUGGGAGACACUUUAAUCAAAAGCAACAUACGAUGGGGGUCAACACUAAUUUGUUCAGUACAGUGUCGUAUGGUUGUCUGAAGUAAGGCUGCCAUCUAGAGAUGUGACAGCAGAACUACAGUCUGCUGUGAGACAAGUGACCAGACUACAGCCCCUGACACUGUGCAAUGAGCUGAAACUGUAGAGGAGGUCAUCUUGCCCAUCCCUGUACCCCUGCACUGGAACAUUGCACAAAGAAGUUUGCACAACGUUUCACGUUACCACCCGUGCUGAGCGGCUUCACCCGUUGUCUGAUGACAAGGGGGGUGUUAGGUGCUGUAAGAUCGACACGCGCUCUGAAGCUCCCUGAGGUCCCAAGAGAUACUGUACAAAACCCACAGCCCUCGCACCACCAUGCACGCUUCAGUGAACAUGAGACUUCUGGUAGCACAGACUCUUUCUUUUUUUUAUAUGUUCCUGCGUCGAAAAAGAAUUCUGAAAUGCAUCUUGUGAGCACAAACUGGGCUUGUCUCCGCUGAGCGGAACUCUGUGCAUGUUGCGUCGCGUGCAUGAGCAUUGGAAUUUGGAUGCAGAGGACAGGUUUACUUUUCAGAGUGUCCUGCGGGUCAUAGGAAAAGGAGGAGAGCCACACACGGAGAGGCAAAUAAAUCUGAGUAAAAGAUUUUUUAUUGGAUUGUGCCCUUUGAUAUGGUGAUAUAUUCUUCAUGGAUCUGUCAGUGCAGCUGGACUCCUUUUGUCACUCAGGAUACAGCAGACACAAACAGCCAGCAGCGCGUUCCGACUGAUGCACUCGCACAGAUAACUGAAUGCUUAUUAACUGUGAAUCGUCAUCCAAUUCAAAAGAUUUUUUUAAAAAAAUAGAACUUUUCACCCUCUAUCUCGCAGGCCUUUGGAUUUAAUGUCACGAUGCUGGCAACCGAUUGAAAGGAGAGUAACUCACACUGUAGCUCUGCAUGAAGCUGAGAGGCGCUGGGGAAUGUGUCGAGUUGCUUCUGCACAGGAAUGGUCUGGACAACACAGUGCCAUUACACUCUGACAUAUCUUAUCAAUGCAAACACAUACGACUAUAUGCCACUGGGAUUUUAAUGUUCUGUGAUUGUAAAUUGUUUGUUUUUUUUUAAACAGUCUUCAUUUGUAAAUGUAUACUCUGUUGUAUCGUGCAUUUUUAAUGGUGAAAAUGAGUCAUUCAGCCAAUCAGUUUGAUGAAUGUCACUGUACCACUGACACAGUACAUGCUGUAACUGGGGCUGCGUCAUGUCUGGAGUCACCGGACAGUUGUGCUGCUGUGGGGAACCGGGAUCAGUUACGUUUUAGAUUCAGGUCGGUAACAAAUGAAUCACCGAAGGUGUCCUGGCCUUUAGGAAGAAUACGAAUUUGUCUGUGUCGUUUAAUUAUCUGUAGUCUUAGACAUUCGAAUAGGAAUAAGUUGAAAAAAACUUGAUUGAGUUUCAAGUUAACUGGUCCCAGACAUGGAAUCAUAAAUUAUCAAAGGACUGUACCAGUGUUUUUGCGCGGUCAUGCUAUUGACCACACUAAAAUCUCCACAAUGCUACUGACCAUUUUUCCAAAGUAGGCACACUGCUUCAUCCAAAGAUAACUCCGAAGACCAUAUUUUAUAUUUAUUGACCUCAUAGUCCAGAAAUAUGUCAUUCACAAUUAACUCAAUAGUUCCUGAUUAUGUGAUGUUGCUCUUAUUAAUUAUUACUUAGUAACUCCAUUUUCUGUAAGUAUCAGUUGACAACCUCCUUGUUACAAUCGUUUUCUCAUAACCAUAAAAUAUGAUUUCAUUUUUUACUAGUAACUAAGUUGUGUUUUAGGAUAAUGUCUCAUUACCUUUCCAUUCCAGUGCAAACACUCCAGCGUACUGUUUUUUUUUUUUUUUUUAAUCUAUUCCUCUGGACGGCUGCUAGAUGUGAACACACUGGUAUCAUUAUUUAAACGGCGGUUAUAAGUAUUGAAGGGUCAUAUAUGAAAAUGCCAAAAAUGUGCAGCCCCAGUGACUCCAUCUCGUGACGUCAGUUUCCCAGUGACACUGCUGACAAUGAAGCUGCCGCUCUGCCUUUCUUGUUUCCAGAGCACUGUUACUGUGAGGUCACCCCAGGCCUGCCACUGGUGAUCAUUAGUUCAUUGAUAAGUAUAUACAGUAGACGUGUCCCGAUUGCAUACUGUGCAUGUUGACAUGUGCAUUGUUCUGGCAGUUGGAAAGAGAAAUGUGUGCCAACUGGAAAUGUCAAGUAAUUCCUAGCAAUGCUGGUGGCGAGCUCUAAUGCAGGUAUUUUUGUUUGUCAGUCAGUCCACCACUUUGAUUUUUAACUGUACCCACUGUACGAUGUUCAUCGUGUCGACCAACAGCAUACCUACUGCAUGUUUGAAAAAAAAAUGUCGUGAGAACUACAGGGUAUGCAAAUGGGGCACAGAUUUGGUCUCCAAGCAGAACGCUCAGGUUCCGAACGUACAAUGUGCCAAACCUGAGUUAGACGUUCUCGACGACUCUAGUGUACAGAGACUCAACGCCAUUAGGAAUGAAAUCAUCUUUACAGUGGAUUAGGGACAUGUCUUAAACAUAUACAUUCGGGUCCAAAAGGCAGAAACCAUCUUUUAGCAAUAAUGAUUUAUUAAUGAUUUGUUGUAUCCCUGAAAAUAAGUGGCAUUCAGAUAUUACUUUCAGCAGUUAGAGGGAGGAGUGAUCAAACAACUAGUUGCUUGUAUGUUGUGUCCAAUUUCAACGUUUACUUCUUCAAUUCAACAUAUUAUAGGUGACAGGCUGCAGUCUCACUGGUAUUGUAAUAUAGGACUGAUGUCAUGGAGGACUCAGACUCACUGUAAAUAUGAUGGCUACCACUGUAUGCAAUGCUUUUACCACAAUUGAUUUCUAUAGGACAGCAGCAAUCUGCAGCAAUACCUCUGAAUCUAUGAAGCAUCUCAAAGCGUUUAAGUGCCUCAAGGUUUGACAGUAUCAAAGAUGCAAAAGGACAUAGAUGAAAUCAUUUAUUUAAGAAUGACGACAGUGUGAAGCAGUGGAAAAAUGUAGCACAUUAUAUAUAUAUAUGAAUAUAUUUUUUUUUCUUCCACAAGCUUGAUAAAUUGUGCAGCAUCGAACAAAAAAAUGUUUUGUUCUGUUUUUCUUUUCUAAAAAUAUAUUUCCAGGUUUUCUGGUGUCAAAUAUAUACAAACUAUUAAAAUGUGUUUAAAAAUUG